rnacentral:rRNA from 1 species
UACGUAGGGUGCAAGCGUUAAUCGGAAUUACUGGGCGUAAAGCGUGCGCAGGCGGUUGUGCAAGACAGAUGUGAAAUCCCCCGGGCUUAACCUGGGAAUUGCAUUUGUGACUGCACGGCUAGAGUGUGGCAGAGGGGGGGUGGAAUUCCACGUGUAGCAGUGAAAUGCGUAGAGAUGUGGAGGAACACCGAUGGCGAAGGCAGCCCCCUGGGUUAACACUGACGCUCAGGCACGAAAGCGUGGGGAGCAAACAGG